rnacentral:rRNA from 1 species
AGAGUUUGAUCAUGGCUCAGAUUGAACGCUGGCGGCAUGCCUUACACAUGCAAGUCGAACGGCAGCACGGGAGCAAUCCUGGUGGCGAGUGGCGAACGGGUGAGUAAUAUAUCGGAACGUGCCCAGUAAUGGGGGAUAGCCCGGCGAAAGCCGGAUUAAUACCGCAUACGACCUACGGGUGAAAGCGGGGGAUCGCAAGACCUCGCGUUAUUGGAGCGGCCGAUAUCAGAUUAGGUAGUUGGUGGGGUAAAGGCCUACCAAGCCUGCGAUCUGUAGUUGGUCUGAGAGGACGACCAGCCACACUGGGACUGAGACACGGCCCAGACUCCUACGGGAGGCAGCAGUGGGGAAUUUUGGACAAUGGGCGCAAGCCUGAUCCAGCAAUGCCGCGUGCAGGAAGAAGGCCUUCGGGUUGUAAACUGCUUUUGUCAGGGAAGAAAUCCUCUGGGUUAAUACCUCGGGGGGAUGACGGUACCUGAAGAAUAAGCACCGGCUAACUACGUGCCAGCAGCCGCGGUAAUACGUAGGGUGCGAGCGUUAAUCGGAAUUACUGGGCGUAAAGCGUGCGCAGGCGGUUGUGCAAGACAGGUGUGAAAUCCCCGGGCUUAACCUGGGAACUGCACUUGUGACUGCACGGCUAGAGUACGGUAGAGGGGGAUGGAAAUUCCGCGUGUAGCAGUGAAAUGCGUAGAUAUGCGGAGGAACACCGAUGGCGAAGGCAAUCCCCUGGACCUGUACUGACGCUCAUGCACGGAAGGCGUGGGGGAGCAAACAGGAUUAGAUACCCUGGUAGUUCCACCGCCCUAAACGAUGUCAACUGGUUGUUGGACGGCUUGCUGUUCAGUAACGAAGCCUAACGCGUGAAGUUGACCCGCCUGGGGGAGUACCGGCCGCAAGGGUUGAAACCUCCAAAUGAAUUGACGGGGAACCUCGCACA